GGCGGCGUGGAUAAGACAUGCAAGUCGAACGGGAUUUUACUUGUAGCAAUACGAGUAAAGUUCAGUGGCGCAAGGGUGCGUAACACGUGGGCAAUCUGCCUGGGGGCGCGGGAUAGCUCGGCGAAAGCCGAAUUAAUACCGCAUGUGGCUAUCGAGGGAUUCCUCGAGACGCUAAAGACGGCGCAAGCUGUCACUCCCGGAUGAGCCCGCGGCCUAUCAGCUAGUUGGUGAGGUAACGGCUCACCAAGGCUAUGACGGGUAGCUGGUCUGAGAGGACGACCAGCCACACUGGAACUGAGACACGGUCCAGACACCUACGGGUGGCAGCAGUCGAGAAUUUUUCUCAAUGGGGGAAACCCUGAAGGAGCGACGCCGCGUGGAGGAUGAAGGUUUUCGGAUUGUAAACUCCUGUCAUUUGGGAACAAAAUUUCCGCUUAACUGGCGGGGACUUGAUAGUACCAGAAGAGGAAGAGACGGCUAACUCUGUGCCAGCAGCCGCGGUAAUACAGAGGUCUCAACCGUUGUUCGGAUUCAUUGGGCGUAAAGGGUGCGUAGGCGGUCGCGCAAGUCGGAUGUGAAAUCUUAGGGCUCAACCCUGAAACUGCAUUCGAUACUGCGUGGCUAGAGUACUGGAGAGGAGACUGGAAUUUACGGUGUAGCAGUGAA
rnacentral:rRNA from 1 species